rnacentral:rRNA from 1 species
AUGGCGUCGGGCAGGGGUUCCCGAGGUGGUGCCGGUGGCCCAUGGCGGGGUGCAGCAGGACAGAGCUCGACGGAGCAAGGGCCGAGGGGCGCUUGGCGGCAGGGCCCGCGAAUGGAGGAGGUCGACGAGGUGUUGCGCGGCGAUGGCCUCAGGAUGGCCAUGGCGCGGUGCAGGCAGGAGGGCAGCGCGCCUGCCCGUUCGUGCGCGAGGAAGGAACACAAGCAGAGGAGAGGAAGAAGGCACCACGGCCACCGGAGGUAG